GAUGAACGCUGGCGGCGUGCCUAAUACAUGCAAGUCGAGCGAACGGACGAGAAGCUUGCUUCUCUGAUGUUAGCGGCGGACGGGUGAGUAACACGUGGAUAACCUACCUAUAAGACUGGGAUAACUUCGGGAAACCGGAGCUAAUACCGGAUGAUAUUUUGAACCGCAUGGUUCAAAAGUGAAAGACGGUCUUGCUGUCACUUAUAGAUGGAUCCGCGCUGCAUUAGCUAGUUGGUAAGGUAACGGCUUACCAAGGCAACGAUGCAUAGCCGACCUGAGAGGGUGAUCGGCCACACUGGAACUGAGAAACGGUCCAGACUCCUACGGGAGGCAGCAGUAGGGAAUCUUCCGCAAAGGGCGAAAGCCUGACGGAGCAACGCCGCGUGAGUGAUGAAGGUCUUCGGAUCGUAAAACUCUGUUAUUAGGGAAGAACAUAUGUGUAAGUAACUGUGCACAUCUUGACGGUACCUAAUCAGAAAGCCACGGCUAACUACGUG
rnacentral:rRNA from 1 species